rnacentral:lncRNA from 1 species
GUCACUGUUGUACCAUCGAAAUGAGUGAGAAGCCCCGCCUGAUACCCUUUUGAAGUUGGCUUCCGCCAGGAGUGAAUACAAUACCCUCUGGGUAGCUAGGAAGUCCCGAGGUGCAGGCUUCUCCCUGGCUUCGUGGAAAAGUGGCCUGGUGACCUGCAAAAAAUGACUUCGGAAGAGCGAUGUCCGUCUGGAGAGGGACUGCGGGUGGGAGAGCGGUGCUGGGAGGGAGACGUCUGUAUCGCAUUAGUCUGCGUCUGGCGGGGAGGGGCUGGAGGCCCUGGCGGGUCAAGGCAACUGCUCCCUGCUGCUUUCUGGCGCGAAUGUGGAAUCUGGUAGUGAUUAGAGAAGGUUAUUGUCUUGGGAGUGCAGGGAGAUCGGUAGUAAUACUGCUUUGAGCGUUUCUGACCCCAUCUUAGAAGGCCUCUCCCACGACUCUCCUGCUGGGCUCUGAUUUUAGAGCCACUAAGCAAAGAAAGACAAGGAAAACUGAGGCCUAUUCCUUAAGCCUAUCCACUCCCCGGGGCUUACAGGGGACACUCCAGGAGGAGCACAGAUGAGAACACACAUCCCUAGACAGAAAACCCCAAGUAAGCCUCUAUUUUUCUUAGCCCUCCUUCCUGUGGAGUGAAUAUCAUUUGGUCCAUUUGUUAUGAGAAGAAACAGAGACUUGGAACUGACAUUUGAACCCGAGUCUUUUGAAAUAUAAAGAGAAUGGAUGGUAAAAUAACUACUUGUGGUUACUGGCUAAGAAUUCUGCCCUUGAAAAUUUGGAGAAAGAGCUCCUCCCUGUGCAGCUUCGACAAUAACCCACUUCAAGGCGAGCUGAAGCCAGGGUACCUUUUGGCGGCACCUUUUUCUUCUUCUUUUUCUUCUCUCCUUCACUUUCUCCCCAUCUCUUCCCCUGGGUUUCACUGCAUACCUCAGGUUGACCCUAUCCCUUCUCUUCUCCCCACGUGCUGGGAUCUGACGGUCGGGCUACUCCUAGAUCAGAGUGGCUCUCUAAUAAGUCAUAAUCUGUUUAUAGCCAUUCAUAAAAGCAGAGUGCUUCUGUGCACAUUAGCUAAUUUGGCUCUUAUAAUAACUGUCUUAUCCCCAUUGCCGUAGACAAAGAAUCUGAGACGCUGAGGAAUUAAUUUGCCGAAGGUGCUACAGUCAAUGAUGAAAUUCAACCUCGGAUCUUUUUGCUCUAAAUACAGCACCCACUGCCCAUCACCCAUUGCCCGAUACCAGUUAGUCUCCAGGUAAAUAUUGGGUGAUGGAGUGAUGCUGUGUAUAAUCUAGCUAGCAAUAAACUGAUCUUAAGUUUAGGUAGCAUUUUAUCUCCGAAGAUGGUGCUCCAACCCAGGAAGAUUACACUGGAGACCCUGCCUCAAGGGGACGGAAGACUUCUGAAAGUUGUCCUCUGACUUCCGCAUGAGCGCUGAGGUGCAUGAACACACACGCGUGCGCACACAAACACACACACACACACACACACACGCAUACAGACACACACAGACACACAUAUGUGUGUGCACACACACAACUCAUGCACGCAUGCAAGAAUGCACGCAGUAUACCCAUAACCACACAUACACGCAGGCAUGUGCACAUAUGCAUGCGUAUACAUUUAUUGUGUGUGGAUGAGUGCUCCCAUGCCAUGACUGGCAUGUAAGGGUCAGAGGGCAGCUUGUAACUGGACUCAAAUAAAUUUCUAAAACUUUUUAAAAGGGUGAAGAUUACAAUUUAUCUAUCUAUGUAUCUAUCUAUGUAUCUAUCUAUGUAUCUAUCUAUGUAUCUGUCUAUGUAUCUAUCUAUGUAUCUAUCUAUGUAUCUAUCUAUGUAUCUAUGUAUCUAUGUAUCUAUGUAUCUAUGUAUCUAUGUAUCUAUCUAUCUAUCUAUCUAUCUAUCUAUCUAUCUAUCUAUCUAUCUAUCUAUCUUGCAGUUCACACAGCUCUGGGGUGAUUAAUACAUCUUCUUCCUGUUCCAGAGGUACCAGAUUUAGAAAAUAAGAACCCAGAACUCCUAAAAUUAGAUUUCUUAUGGGGUUAUUGAGACAUGUAUGCUAACAAGCCAACUGUUUAUCGGAAAUGUAAAUGUAUCUGACCAUUGUGCGCUUUCAUCUGUCGACUGUACCCUGUCUCCAAAGAGAGAAAGCUGAGCUUGGUGUUCUCUCAAGCAUGCUUGAAUUUUGGACAUGACUAUGUUUUUAAAAGGACAAUUUGAAAACACCCUAUCAAUGUACCAACGUUCAAAUUCUCUGUUACAGUUUCGUCAGAAACCCUUUGAACUGUGCUUGCUUCACGGUAUCCCCUCAUGGAAUCAUUUUUAAGUGAAUCCUAAGGAACAAAACAGUGGCAGAGCAGUUUGAAAACACAAAGGGCCUCAGGACAAUUGUGAAGGAAAGCAGAGCAGAUCACUGUACCAAGUACCCCAGGGAAACCACACCGUGGAAAGGAAUCCCUGAGGAGGGCCGAGUGGAAUAUUCUCCCUAGGCACACAUUUAAUCAAACUUCAAAAGAAAGACAGCCAUUCCCUUUGGAAGCCAUUAUAUAAUGAAGUCAACCCUGCUUUCAACUCCAAAACUAAUUACUGGAUUUAUUCUUCUUACUUAAUCUAUUCCCAGGUAUUUGGACAAAAUGCUAUUCUCUAUUACUUUGCUAAGACAAACAGAAACCAUAAGUAACAUUAAUUUGUCCCUACUAGGUGUGCGCAUGCUGAUUUUAGAACUACCAGUCAGUAUUUGCAUAUAGAGGAGUCAUCACAUUUAUAAAGAAGGCCCAUUACACAUAGAGAAGGUUUUUAAAUCUAACACACAUCAAAGUAGAUCCUGGUCUCAUAAGGAAAACAUCUUAUUCUGCAAAGACAAGACACAUGGCUCUUUUUAAGAUAAGGUCUUACUCCAUGACUCAGGCUAGCCUGGGACGCACUGCAUAGCUCUCACUGGUUUUGACUGUGCCACAAUCCAUCUUCCUCAGCUCUUUCUAAGUGCUAUGAUUACAGGUCUGAUUUACUUUAUCCAACUUGGAAUGUUUGGGUCUUGAAGUCUUAAAGCCACACACUGAAGAGUGGACAACUCAUGUGUACCAUGUGCACACAUAAAUAAACCAUCACCUAGCACCUGUUAGGGUGGGUAUUACUAAACACAUAUGUAAGUGUUGGUGAGGAUGUGGGGAGCAGACCCAUGUGCACAGUUGAUGGGAAUGUCUAUCAUUACUGUUAUUACGAAAAAUAGUGUGUAUGUUCCUAAGAACUAGAACCUUUAUGUGCUCCUACAAUCCCUCAUUUGAUUAUGUAGCCAAAGGAAAUAAAAAGAGCAUCUUAAAGAGGU